UCCCCGUUUACUACGUCAGCACCGCCGCUCACGUCCGUCAAGCUCAGUCACGUGCUGUCGGCUGGGAUCCACUGAAAACCAUAAAUCUCAAUUUCAUCGAUUUUCCGGUAACAUUCGAGGUACCUCCUCCUAAUCCAGAUGCAUCUAUCAAAUUUCCUUCUCAUCUUGUUCCUGUUUUCAAUUCUUCAUUGCAAAUGCGUGAACCAGUUACAGAUCUGGUAAAUAAAUUGGCUUCAAUAUCGAGGAGAGUUGUUGUAGUUCAUGAUUUUCUCACUUCCUGGGUUGUUCAGGAUGUACCAAAAAUACCUAAUGCAGAGUGUUACUGUUUACACACUCUUUCUGCUUUUCAUGUGUUUCCUCACAUUUGUGAUGCUGCUAGACCACUUGUACCUCCUGAAGCUGAAGCUGUACUUAAACAACUUCCGUCUCUCGAUGGGUGUUUUUCUCCUGAACUCGACGAAUUUGCUAAGAAGCAAAUAGCUGCAUGGGUUCCUGGUGUUGGAAAUAUUUUCAGUACGUCUCGAGUUAUCGAAGGAUUGUACAUUGAUCUAAUGGAAAAAAUGACUGGAGCUUCGGGUUUUAAGCAUUGGGCACUAGGUCCAUUCAAUCCUGUAAAUCUGGAGUUUGACAAGAAGGAAACCCGCCAUUAUUCACUUGAGUGGCUUGAUAAACAACCAGCUAGCUCGGUGAUUUUCGUUUCCUUUGGUUCAACAACUUCGUUAUCUGAAGACGAAAUCAGAGAGCUAGCUAUUGGGCUGGAAGCAAGUCAGCAGAGAUUUAUCUGGGUUCUGAGGGACGCAGAUAAAGGAGAUAUAUUCUCUGGUGAAGUUCGAAAAUGUCAAUUGCCCGAAGGAUAUGAGAAGAGGGUAUCGGAAAGAGGACUUGUAAUGAGAGAUUGGGCACCACAAUUGGAAAUUUUAGGACACCUGUCUACGGGUGGAUUCAUGAGUCAUUGCGGGUGGAAUUCUUGUAUGGAGAGUAUUACCAUGGGAGUUCCAAUAGCGGCGUGGCCGAUGCAUUCUGAUCAGCCUAAAAAUGCUCUGCUCAUAACUGAACGACUGAAAACUGGGAUAUGGGUGAGAAAAUGGGAGCAAAGAAAUGAAGUGAUCCCAGCAGAAACUGUUGAAAAAGUUGUGAGAACGUUAAUAGCCUCUCCGAAGGGAGAGGAGAUAAAACGAAAUGCUACAGCGCUCAAGGAAGCAGUGAAAUUAUCAGUAAUGGAGGGUGGGGUAACUCGGAAGGAAAUGAAAUCUUUUGUUGCCCACAUCACUAGAUAGAUUUUUUUUUUGAUUGUUUAAUAUUGGUGAUUUUUUUUUUGUCCUUUUCUUGAUUUAUUAAAAUGGACAAGUAAUUAAGGAUAACUAAAAAAUGAAAAAUGGUAAAGUAAUUAGAGACAUAGAAAAUAUUUGAAUAACUCUAUGUAUCAAGUAUGUUUGCCCCUUUUGAACUCGAGUAAUUACUUAAUGUUAUUGGAUACAAUCUUUUUCUUAUGUUAUAGAUUUCAAAUUAAUGAUAAAAUUAUAUUUGUGUGGCUUAUACACUAAACGUAGCAAAGUCAUUAAUGUUGGUAUCAAUGUAUGCUACUUACACUACACCCUCUUGAAAUGUUGUACUUUCUUGAAACUUGCAUGGAAUGCAAAAUAUAUCAUGCACUAAUGAGACUUUUGAGAAAUGAUAUAAUUAUCUUAUGUAUCACGAAUUUGAGGUUGUGAAAUUAGCUAUUCAGCGCUUUCGACAAAGUAGAUUGUUUACUAGUAUUUUUUGGGAUGUGAUUUUUAAAUUUUUUUUGUAUAAUCGUGAGAUGAUUUGUGUAUAUAUAUUUUUUUUGUGUAUGAUUUUGUAUUGGAUUCAAGCCACAAUUGAAUUUGUUACCUACCAACAAUAGUUAUAUUAAUGCCCGUCCAUACAAAGUUUUAAUAUGUCUAUUGCCAAGAAUAGAGAUAGACAAAUCUAUCAUAACGGAUCUAUAUCAAACAAAACAUAUGAGAAGUGAGCAAGGAGGUGGUGGAGCAGAGGCGAAGUCAGGAAAAUAUUGCAAAACAUGUUUAAUUUUUUUUAAAAAUAGAUAAACUUUUGUUGAUAUAGUGCGGAAGACAUUUUUGUGACCUCUUCUUUAUUAUUGUGUCAUCAAUCAAUUUUAUUAGGUGUUCACAAACUAAUAUACAUAUAUAUUUAUUUAAGAAAGAGAUUCUUGGGUGUUGUAAAUAAAAUUCAACAUUGAUAGUUCAAAGAAAAGUAAACUAUUUAUAAGAUGUUAAAUACAAUUAAAUAAUGUGGGACCUUUUAGUAAAAUAUUGUGACGCUUGGAGCAAUAUCACAUUUAUUAAAAAUAUAUUUAAAUUAUGUUAGCAUAUUCGAAAAUCUUUUCUAAUAAAUGCAUGUGGAAGUUUGUGCAUGAAAAGUUAUCCAUACUUCUUUUGCAAUUGUACCGUACAAGUAUGGGUACGAUUGAAUCACAUAUCAUAGUAAUAAAUAAAAAAGUUUACUAGCUUUAAUGAAUUUCUCUUUCGACAUAACCGUUUAUUCUAUCCUAAUUUUAAUAGAAAAAAUUACAUAAAAUUUCCUCUCGAAUACCUUUCUAUUACCUUUCGGACACUUCCCUCUCAUUAAGUAAUGUCUCAUUCGCAAUCCGUGAACUAUGUAUCCACAUGUUUCUUAAUGUAUCCGAAAUCUUAUAAUUUUAAGGGAUUUUUAUAAUUUUUAAAAAAAUAGGAAUAUAAUUUACUUAGCUCUUAACACUAUGAGAUUUAUGUAGUUUUUACAUUUUAAUAUGAUGUGUAUGAACUAGAAUAAUUCUUCAAUCAAUGGAAUUCCUAGUAAAAAUAUUACUCAUUUAUGCAGUAUCUGUUUUUUAUUACUUUUAGACAGGUCAGUUUGGACCAAAGUUAUGGAUUUACUUGGGUUAUGUUCAUAUUUAGCCCAUCAUUAUUUUAUGUCAUGACUCAUGACUAAUCCAUUAAAAUCUGGAUGAACUGAGCCGAUCAGAUGGACUUGGGCUGAUUUGAGUAGUUCUAGAUAAAAGAGAAACUUUUUAGAAUAGUAAAAUUAGCCAUUAAAUAGGAUUUCAUAGUUAUAAUUUAACUAAUUACAGUUUGUAACUAUAUUUUGAUUUGCUAGGCAUUUGAUUUUUUGUAUUUUGGAGAAAAGAAUAAUACAAAUACAAACUUAUUUGUAUCAAAAGGAAUGUAUAUUAUGAGGAGAGAGGUGAGCAAGAUCUAGGGAGGGAGGAGAGAGACAAGUGAGAUCGAGAGAGGGAAGAGAGAGUUGUAUUUUGUAUUUAUUUUACAUUGUAUUUCGUAUUUUUUUUAAUGCAUAAUUGUUUUGUAUCCUGUAUCAAUUGCAUUCGAAAUACAAUAAAUACAAUUGUUUUCAUCCUUUUUUUGUUGGAUACAAUUGAUUCAUAAUACAUUUGACAGAGAUAACAAUUCAUAUUGCAUUCGUAUGAAUACAAAUGCAUUUGAUACAAAAAAUACAAAUACAGUUUUUGAAUACAAAUGAUCUAAUACAUUUGAAUAGAUUUCUUCUCAUUGACAGGAGAAAGGGGGGAGAGUUUGCUAUAAAAGUAACAUAUAGUGAUUUUAUGUAAAAAAUUUAAACUAUAUUUUUUUCCAUAAAUAUAUUGAUAUUUUAGCCAUUUUCCAUAAAUUUCCCAUAAAAGAAUCCAUUUAGGCUAUUGUAAAAUUUUGUCAAACUUAAACGGAUCAUAAUAAAUUAAGUCUAACUUAAAUUCAUUUAGGUCAAAAUGAAUCAAAUAAUGAAUCCAGACAAAACAAUCCAAUCAGCCUGCAUGAUGCAAAUUGAAGCAUUGUGCGAUACAUGUGUAAACAAGAUUAUACUCCCUCCGUCCAUAAUUAUUUGGCAGAUAUACUAAAAAUAGAUGUCCAAGAUUAAUUGUCAAUUUAAACAAUCAAGAAAUAAUUAGUCAAAUUUUUUCCAAUUCUGCCUUUAAUGAUAGUGUAGUUCAAUUGAAAAGUUAUGUGGACUUUUGGUAUUCUUGGUAGAGUAAGGUUAUAUUAGUCAAAUUACACCUUGUAUUAAAUUUUCCUUGAGGGAUGUGCAUGACCUUACCCUGACAAACAAUUGUGGACGGAGGGAGUACUUUCCAAUAAAAAAAUCUUUUUGGUCAGAAAAUUUGAUCAGAAUUUGAUAUGAUUGAUAUUUUAUUUAUAUUAUUUUACUUUUUAAAAUAUUUUUAUCCUUUUAACUUUAAUAUUUUUUAAUUAAAACAUAAAAAAUAGAAAAAAUAUCAAUUUAUUUUAAAAUAAAAAAAUAUUAUAAGUUUUUUAAUUUUCUAACCAAAUUUUGAUCAAAUUUUCUGGCCAUUUAGCACUUUCCCUAAUAUAUUUGGACACAUGAAAUUAAAAAAUCACUGACUUUUAAAAAUAAAGAAUUAUCUUCCAUUUUUCGAGAAUAAUUGAAUGAAUAGCAUUAAUAUGCACUUCGACCGAGAGUUGAAAUUUUAAUUAUUACUGUACUACCAAAACUCCAGAUGGCUCACAUGCAUGCGUCGUGUUGAUUUGUUAAAAUAUAAUAUAAAAAAUAUUUUAUUUACAAAUUCAAAAUACAAUUACUCCCACUAUUUCUAAUUACUUGUCUAUUUUUAAACUGAUACACCUAUAAAGAAAACAAUUAUUGACAUAUAAAUUUACCAUUUUACCCCUAUUAUUUAUGAAGUAGAUAAAUUAAAAACUUGAGAUUUUUAAGAAAUUCUAUUUUUUUUGAAGUAAUUAAUUGAGGGUAUAAUAGGUAAAAAGAAAUUGUCAUUUUUUUAUUUGUCAAAAUAGUCAAGUAACUAAUGACAACUAAAAAAGAAAAAGUGAAAAAAUAAUUAGGAAUAGAGGGAGUUUUAUAUAACUUUUGAUACAUAUUUACUGCGCUUCGAAUUCAAUUCGAAACUAACUAAAAUUUUAUUCAAAUUGCCCUAAAUUUUAGAUUCAAAAUGGAGUUUUAACACUUCGAUAUAAAUCUCUUCGACUUUUUCAUAUUCUUCCGGUUCCUUAUUACUUGUCCAUUUUUGAAUUGGCUCACCUAUUAAGAAAAUAAUAAUUGAUAUAAUGAGUUUAUCAUUUUACCCCUAUUAAUUAUGAAGUAGAUGAAUUUAAAACUUAAUAUUUUCAAGAAGUUCUACAUUUUUUAAAGUAAUAAAUUGAGGGUAUAAUAGAGAAAUUUAUUUGUCUUUUCUUGAUUUAUCAAAAUGGAUAAGUAAUUAUGGACAACUAAAAAAGAAAAAGUUGACUAGUAAUUAGGGACAAGGGAGUACUAGUUGUCUAUUAUUGACUUGACAUAUUCAUUGAGAAAUUAUAAAUAGAAGAAUAAUUUUACUAUAUCACCCUUUGAAUAUACUCCUUCUGUCCAACAAUAGUUGUACAUUAUUGACUUGACACACCCUUAAGAAACUAUAAACAGAAUGAUGAUUUUACUAUAUCACCUUUUGAAUAUAAUAAAUACAAUGUUUUGAAAAAUAUAAUAGGAAAAUGACUAUAAUUAAUGAUAAGGAUAAAUUAUGAACUAAGUGUAAAAUUAUCCAUGGAUUUCAUAAAGCGGACAAGUAUUGUUGGAUAUCUAUUUUUAGUUUAGUGGAAAAAUAUUGUUGGAUGGAGAGAGUAAUAAAUACAAUAUCUUGAAAACUGUAAUAAGGAAAUGACUAUAAUUAAUUAUAAAGGUAAAUUAUGAACUAAGGCUCCUCUCCAUUUCUCUUCUCUCCAUUUUCCUCAAGUUCCUAUUUGGAUUAAUGACACAUGACAUAGGUUAAAAUAAAUGGCAAAAAUUUAACUUUCCAAAGUAACUAUCUAAUCAUGAUUUAACUAAUAAAUAUAUUAUAUAUUUAAUUUUAAAAGUUACUAUAACCCCGACAAUCUUAACAACAUAUUAUCUUGUUCAUAAAUUUAGGGGGAAAAAGUUUUUUCUUCCUAAUUUUUUUACUUAGGAUGUUAAGUUAAUUUUAUUUUUAAGUUAAUAUUUUUAUUGCAUUUUUUCCUCGAAUUUUUCUUUUUAACCAUUAGCUGUUGAAGAAUAUUAUUUUUCCUAUUUUAUUUCACCUUUUUUUUUCCUAUUUCCUCCAAAAUUAACAUUAUCUAUAUUUGGCAGCAGUUCAAUAUUUAAAAGAAAAUUAAAAAGAAUCCCACGUAAUAAAAAAGUAAUUAGGAAGAACUUUUUUUCCCUAUAUUUAUGGACAAGAUAAUAUGUUGCUAAGAUUGUGAGAUUAUAAUAAUUUUUAAUAUUAAAUAUAUAUUGUAUUUAUUAGUUAAAUCAUGGUUAAAGAUUUACUUUGGGAAAUUAAAUCUUAGCCAUUUAUUUUAAACUAUGCCAUGUGUCACUAAUCCAAAUAAGAACUUGGGAAAAUGGAGAGGAGCCAGAUCCGAACUAAGUGUAGAAUUAUUCAUUAAUUUCAUAAAGUGGACAAAUAUUGUUAAACAUCUCAAUAUAGUAUAGUAGACAGCUAUUGUUGAACGGAUGAAGUAAAUAAUAUUUCCUCUAUUUCAUACUAUUUCCAUUUCAAAUGGGACGGAGGAAGUAUUUUCUAUGAGAUAAGUUACACUAAUCCAUUCGUUCCAAUUUAUAUGUCAUCUUUACUAAAAAUAAAUGUUCCUUAAUACUUCCUCUGUCCUCAAUUACUUGGCCAAUUUUCAUUUUUUACUUGUCCAUUUUGACAAAUCAAGAAAGAACAAUUUUUUUUACCUAUUAUAUCCUCAAUUAUUUAAUUUAAAAAAAGGUAGAACUUCUUGAAAAUAUUAAAUUUUCAUCCACUUCAUAAUCAAUAUGGAUAAAAUGGUAAACUCACUAUGUCAAUCCUUAUUUACUUAAUAUGUGUGUCAAUUCAAAAUAGACAAGUAAUUAGAAGGGAAAAGACAUAGAUUCCCCCCUAAACUUGUCUUGAAAAGUCAGUUACACACUUUAACUAUCUCGACGACCUAUUACACACCUGAUCUUGUUUAAAGUGAUAUUAAUACCCUCUUAUAAGAUGACAUGGCAGAGAAAGUGUCUUCACCUUCCUUAAGGUGCGUGAGAAGAAGGAAAAAAAUGUUAAAAUGAUAAAUUUGAACACCUUGUUAGUGUAAAGUUUUGAUGAUAAUCAACUUAACUAUUUCAGGACAACUCAAAAAGGAAAGAAUCAAAUAAGAAGAAGAUUAUCACAGCAAGAUUGAAGAUCAUCAAUCAAGGAGGCUGAAAUCUGAAAUGCACAAAUCAUGGAAGAUUGCAAAUCAAGGAAGAUAACAAACUAGCUGCCAAUAAAUCAGAAAAGUGUAAGAUCUUUGAUUAGAUCUCCAACGGCCAUAUUAAAUCAAGGAAGCUGCAAGAAUGAAGCAAUCAAGAAAGGAAGGGAUCGCCAAACGACUACAUAUACAAUUCAAGGAAGCUGCAAGAAUGAAUCAAACAAGAAAGGAAGGGAUCUCCAACGGCUAUAUACAAUCAAGAAAGCUACUGAAGUAGAGACAUAAGGAAAGGAUCACAAACGGUUGUCUGUAAGCUAUUAAGGCUAAAUCAAUGAAUAAGCCUUAAUCUUUAUUCUUGGAAAAUAAGGAUAUUUUGCCUUUUUUCCAAGGAUCAAAUCUCUUGGGUUGCCAUCUCUUAAUAGGACCAGAUUCAAGUCUCGACCUUAUAUAAAGACAUCACUGCAAGUGGAAAGAUUGUACAACGAGUCUGAAUCAUCUCACCACUCCCUACUCUACUGUGCAAACAAAAAAGAGAGAAGAGAGAAAAAUUGUUGGUAAGGCGUUGUAUCAAAAUAGAAGAGUGAAAAGAAACAGAGUGUAAACUGUGAAGUCACACUCAACUUUGUACUCUCAUCAAAAGUUACCAAGGCUAGAAGAGAACACCCUUGCAACCUAAGGGGACUGGACGUAAGAUCCACAUUGGAUCCCAAACAGUAAUAAAAUUAUUGUGUCAAGUUUACUUUAUGCAUUUUCGAUUCCAUUCAUACCUUCCUGCAAUCUGUAGUCGACUGAGGUUCCUCUCAAGUCAACUACUCACAAGAAGAAGAUCGAAAAAAAUAGCAAUUCACCCCCCUCUUGCGCUUUCACACCUGACACUAUUUUAUUGGUCAUUAUAUAAUUAAGAAUUAUAAUUUCUAAUAUAUUAAUUAUAUCAAUAAAAAAAAUUUUGUGUCUUUUUAUUGGUGGCCUUCAAUUUCUUUUAAAGCUUUUACAAUUUUCUUUCUUUUGACUUCUUCAAUAGAUCUUCCCUUUGUCACCAUUAAUCAGUUCUUCACUUUAUUUCCCUGGAAGCAUUUCAAACCCAUAGAGAAGAACUUUAAAAAGAAAUAGAAAGAAAAUGAUUAUUCUAUCUUCGUCUUCUCUAUUCUUGUCGGAACACCACCUAACCAUCACAAUGUCAUUUUUGUCUCAAGCCUCCAUCAAUAGCAUAUUUGAGUAUUAAUUAUGCCCAAAUAAUACAAAUAAAAUGCUUAAUUUCAUCCAUAAUUAUCAAUAUUUUUAAAGAAAAUUACAGAUCUGAAAGUAAUUUUAUAGAUCUGAAAGUAUUUAUUUGUUUCACCGGCAACAAUGUUGUUGCCCACCAACGUAUCACUGCCGUCAACAUCUCUAUACUUCAUAAUCGGCUAACUACUUCCUAUUUUCUCUUUUCCCUUUCUACUUAUGAAGAAGGAAGAAGAAAUAAAUUUUAAAAAACAAAGAGAUGUAUGGUGAGGAAGGAAGAACACACAAAGUAAUAAUUACUAUUUUAAGAAAGUGUGAGAAAAUAUUAAGGGAAAAAUGUUUAAAUAAUAUUAUUUCCGUUGUCAAAAAGCGUGUACAACAGUUUCUCACACAAAACUGAGAUUGUCUUCGGAAAGGGGAAUUAAUAUCAUUUUGAAUAAGAUUAGGUGUGUAAUAGAUUGUCAUGAUAGUUUAAGUGUGUAACUGACUUUUCGGGACAAGUCCAAGAAGGAAUUUAUGCCUUUUCUCUAAUUAGAAACAUGGGGAAUACUUGUCAUUUCAAUACCUAAGUAACAUUAUUCUACUUAUUUUACCAUGAAGAGUUAUUAACCUUGAAUAUAUGAUUUGACCAACAUAGAAAAAUAAAUGUGAAUUAAUCAUUGGUCAAGUUAAUUAAUCAAAAUAAAUUCAUAAUGAAGGUAAAAUCUAAAAUGGUGACAUAUACAUAGAAAUGAAGAAAGUACUUGUAAAGUUACAUUUAUAAUUUCACAAAAAACAAUAGUAAAAAAUACUUGCAAAGUUAUAUUUAUAAUUUUAUAAAGAACAAUAGUGAAAAUUAUGUGUAGGGAUCAAUAUGUUUUUGUGAUGCCUUCUACAUGAUGACUUCCUAUAUUUUUUAUUUUUAGUAAGAGAUAUGAAAAUCUGUGAUCAAGCAUAGAUAUUUUGUGGGACAUGAAAUUUCUUUCUUAUUUUUCUGUUUCCCUUUACAUAAUUCUUUAGGAAAAAUAGGUAUAUCUUAAUAGGUCGUUUGAUAGGAAGUAUUAUAAGAAAUAAUUUAUGUAUUAUAUAUGGUAUUAUUUAGCACUAUAUUUAGUAGGAAUUUGGACCUAUGUAUAUCUAAUUCAUGUAAUAUACAUGAUCAUAUAUUAUAUUAUAUGAUGUAUUACUAAUACCUUCCAUUUGGAGGUUUUAGUAAUACAUAAGAUUUAAUAUCAUGGGAUAAGUCUAUAUAAAGACAAAAACAUCCUUCAAAUCAUUUUAAUUAUUUUAUUUCUUUUCUUGAUUUUAUGUUUUAUAUUUGUACUAGUAAAUUUAUUUAAAUAAAUUAGUUUACAAAUUAUUUAGAGAGUGUUGUUUAUUACUAAAUAAAUCCAAUACAAAUCAAUACAAUAUUUGAAAUGUGAGUUGUUUAACCUUUACUAAUUAAAAAAGUCAAAUAUAUCACCACAUGACGUUUGUGAUCUUGGUUGAGUGUAUUAUUUGUAUAAUAUAUAUAUGUAUAAUUUUCUAAUUAUUUGUAUUUUGAAUAAUUUAUAAAAAUUGCAUACAUAUUAAAACUACAAUUUACAAUUUUUUUGAAUAAAUGUAGAUGGUUUAUUCAAUUUUACUAUUGUUUACCGUCUUUUCGGUUUUAAAAUUAGAUGGUUUAUCUUCUUUUUUUUUUAAAUUAAAAAUUGAUAUUUUAUGAGUGAUCAAUUUAUUAAGUGACAAUUAUUUUCCUCAAAUAAUUCAAGUGAAAAAAUAGAAAACAUGACAACAAAAUUGUUCUUCUCCUAGCUAGUUAGAAGGCAAUAAAAAAUAACAUUCGGUAAUUAUCUAUCUUGAUCCAAUUACAAAAAUAAUUCAAGGUUAUAAUUGGAAAGAAACUUUUUAUAGAGUUUUAAUCCAAACACAAAAUGAUGUGAAAAACAAUGAACCAAUCACUUCAUAAAAAUAAUCAUUGCAUAACCAAUCUCUACAUUACUAAUCCCUACACUAUUAAUCUCUGCACUAUUAAUUUUUGUACCAAACAUUCCCUGAUUGUUUAAAUCUGAUUGGCACAAAUUUGAGUUGAGUAAACAUUUCUCCAUAAAGUACAUGAUUGCUACCAACAAAGAUUUUGGUAAAUUGAUAAGUAAUCUUUCAUCCUUGAUUAAGAGAUCUCGAUUUUGAAUUUUUUUGUGUACAAAAUUACUUUUAUUAGGAAGCGUUUUACUUUUAAUAUAAAAUUUCUCAUAAGAAAUUCAAAUUUAUUCGAACUUCAAUAUAGAUAUACCAGACACUUUGAAAAACAAACAAAAAAGAAGGUACAUGGGGUGCUAAAGGACACGUGGGGUGCUAAGGACACGUUUGAAAGUAAACAAAUAAAAAUGAAUUGUUAAAAUAUCACUCCUUAGUCCUUCAACACACUUUUCAAAAAACGUUAAAUAAAAAGAUUCUCCAAAUCACAAAUAUAGAUUUUUAUUAUAUACAACUCUUUCAACCAUCAACUAAAGCUGCUUCCAAAUCACGAAUAUAGAUUCAAUAAUUUCAUAAAAAAGCUCAUCAACUUUCAUAAAAUUUCGGCGUUCUUCAAAUCUUAGCGAUGAACACAGUCAGACCAGUAUAAUUGUGAUUGUAACGUUUUAACUGUGUAAUAAUAUCAAAUUUAAAUAAUUUAAGAGGGUGAUAGGUUCCUUAAAAUUGAAGUAUCUAGUUAAAAAUUCGAAUAUAGAUUAAAGAGGCAUUUGAUUAUUUUCUCUCUCUCUCUCUCUCUCUAUAUAUAUAUAUAUAAGAGCCAUGUAACCAUACAAGAUAAUAAAAAUGAUGACAAGAUAUUUAACGUCUAAAAACAAAUAUUAGCCCAAAGUUAGAUAACAAUGACAAAUAUAUAUAUAUAAAAAAGAGGAAUGGCCUUUUUUAUUUCUAAGAAUUGUUUGAAUUGACUUAAAAGUUGGUCAAACCUACUUUUAAGUUAGUUUUUGACCUAUGAAAGUGUUCGGUAAUAUAAAAAAUAACUGAAAAUAAGUUAAGAAAUGUUUGGGCAAGAUUAAAAAUAACUUAAAAUAAGUUUAAAAUGAUUUAAAAAUCAAAAAUAAAUCUCCCUAUUUUUAAUUUUUAUGAUUUAAAAAUUAUUUAACUUUUUUUUUUAAAAGUCGAUUCAAACAGGCUUAAGAGUAAUUCUUAUGACCCUUUUCCUUUUUCUUCACUUCACCUACCAAAUUCACUAACACUCUGUUUGGAUCAUUGUUACCCAUUGUUUCAUAAUGUAUUGUAUUCUAUUGUACUUUAUUGUACUGUACCGUAUGAUAGAUACAAUGUUUGGCUAGACUGUAUUGUUUGUUGUUGUUUAAUAACAUUUUAAUUGUUUGGUUUGAUUGUAUAUACUAUGUUGUAAUUUAUAAAUUUAUUAAAAUAUCCUUAAGGAGGUUUUACUAAAAUUAAAUAAUUAUAAGAUAAAGGGUAAAAUAAUAUUUUAAAAUAUUAUGUAAAGAUAUAAUUGGAAAAAGAAAUUAAGUAACAAUGAAAACACAUCAAAUUGGUUAUUCCAUAAAAUAGGGGUUUUCAUUGUUACAUAAUAAUGAAAUUUAACAAUAUAUUUUAAUUAACAAUUAAAACAAAUAUUGUAGAUAUAAUAAUGAUACAAUACAAUAUAAUUGAUAACAAUGAUCCAAACAGAGCGUAAAACAAAAGGACUUUGCACUACAAAUAAGAGUACCUUUGCGCCAAUUAAAAAACAUCAAUAGUUUUGCCCAACAUUGCAUACUAACUUCUCUUCCAAAAAUGGCAGCAACAACAACAAACCAUGUAGAACAACAACACGACGUCGUUGUAGUGGUAGUUCCUCUUCCUGCACAAGGCCAUCUCCACGCAGCAAUCGAACUCUCCCACCGCAUCUCCUCCGCCAACAUCCCUGUUUACUACGUCAGCACCGCCGCUCACGUCCGUCAAGCUCAGUCGCGUGCUGUCUGCUGGGAUCCACUGAAAACCACAAAUCUCAAUUUCAUCGAUUUUCCGGUAACAUUCGAGGCACCUCCUCCUAAUCCAGAUGCAUCUAUCAAAUUUCCUUCUCAACUUGUUCCUGCUUUCAAUUCUUCAUUGCAACUGCGUGAACCAGUUACAGAUCUGGUAAAUAAAUUGGCUUCAACAUCGAGGAG
rnacentral:lncRNA from 1 species